rnacentral:lncRNA from 1 species
GAAUCAAGAAAUACUCUAUUUCACCAGAGGAAUCCUUGCAAAUACAUUUUACUCCACUAUGCAAAAUCCUGUGGAACCAGUUUUUUAUACAUAUUUUUAGCUGAAAGAUCAAGGAAAUGUGUCACAGUUGGGGACCUGUAUCAUAAUUAUCUCUGUAGGUUCUACAGCAUCCAGCAUGAUGUCCAAAGUAGCGAGAUUGGAAAAUGCCAAAGCAAUUGGGGAAAAAAAUACUGUUUUCUCUGAAAUGAAGACUCCUCAAGAUCCUGUUGCUGGAAUGAGUAUUGGACUCUUCGGUCUACUUCUACAGUCACCAGUACAUCUGGCAUACACUAUGAUGCCCAACAGUAGGAAGAUGAAAGAAAUGUAGAUGUUGGCAUUUCUAAAAGAGAUGUUGUAUCUUUUUUCCUACUUAAUAGACUAUUAGGCUAUAAAUCUCAAUCUUGGCCAGCAAAUGUGUUUGCCAGCUUUUCUUUAUUCUUUUUAAUUUUUUUGAGGAUCAGCAUGGAAAAACAAUUUGCGCAAGGCUCAAGAAGAUGAGAUGGUCUUAUAAACAGUAAUUGAAAUAUGUAUAUUUUUUAAAAGUCUGUUUCAAAUUUCAAACCUUAUUUUAAAAACUAUGUGAAAGCCUCUUGUGAAACUCAACUGAAGUAGGCAUGGCUGAGUCCAGAGGAGCAGUGUGGAGGAUUAGAAAAAUAAACAGGCAGGAGUCAGACAGUCCUGGAUUCAAAUCCCACUUCUAGGCCUUAGAGAAAUAAUAUAAUAGUAGGGGAUAAUAAUAUUCACCCUGAAGAGUGCUGUAGGGAUCAUCAAUAUUUCAUAUAAAGCAUGUCAUAUGGGCAGUGCUCAAUGAAUGGCAAUGCUUUUGCCCAGGUAUAGAACUUCUUAGUAUAAAAGUUUUGUCUUUCAGAAAAUUAACAAAGAUAUUCAGGACCGGAAUUCAGCUCUGGAUCAAGUAGACCUGAUAGAUAUCUACAGAACUUUCUAUCCCAAAACAACAGAAUGUACAUUUUUCUCAUUGCCACAUGUCACUUACUCUAAAAUCGAUCACAUAAUCGGAAGUAAAACACUCCUCAGUAAAUGCAAAAGAACUGAAAUCAUAACAAACAGUCUCUCAGACCACAGUGCAAUUAAAUUAGAAUUCAAGAUUAGGAAAUUCAGUCAAAACCACACAACUACAUGGAAAUUGAACAACCUUUUCCAGAAUGACUCUUGGGUAAAUAAUGAAAUUAAGGCAGAAAUCAAGAAGUUCUUUGAAACUAAUGAGAAAAAGAGAGAAUGUACCAGAAUCUCUGGGACGCAGCUAAAGUAGUGUUAAGAGGGAAAUUUAUAGCACUAAAUGCCCACAUCAAACAGCUGGACAGAGCUCAAGUUGAUAACCUAACAUCUUAACUAAAAGAACUUAGAGAACCAAGAGCAAAUAAACCCCAAAGCUAGCAGAAGAUAAGAAAUAACCAAGAUCAGAGCUGAACUGAAGGAGAUAGAGACACAAAAAAUCCUUAAAAAAAUCAACGAAUCCAGGAGCUGUUUUUUGAAAAAAUUAAUAAAAUAGACAACUAGCUAGACUAACAAAUAAGAAAAGAGAGAAGAGUCAAAUAAACACAAUGAAAAAUGAUAAGGGGGAUAGUACCGCUGACCCCAUAGAAAUACAAACAACCAUCAGAGAA